AACGAACGCUGGCGGCGGGCUUAACACAUGCAAGUCGAGCGCCCCGCAAGGGGAGCGGCAGACGGGUGAGUAACGCGUGGGAAUCUACCCACCUCUACGGAAUAACGCAUGGAAACGUGUGCUAAUACCGUAUACGUCCCUCGGGAGAAAGAUUUAUCGGAGAUGGAUGAGCCCGCGUUGGAUUAGCUAGUUGGUGGGGUAAAGGCCUACCAAGGCGACGAUCCAUAGCUGGUCUGAGAGGAUGAUCAGCCACACUGGGACUGAGACACGGCCCAGACUCCUACGGGAGGCAGCAGUGGGGAAUAUUGGACAAUGGGCGCAAGCCUGAUCCAGCCAUGCCGCGUGAGUGAUGAAGGCCCUAGGGUUGUAAAGCUCUUUCACCGGUGAAGAUAAUGACGGUAACCGGAGAAGAAGCCCCGGCUAACCUCGUGCCAGCCGCCGCGGUAAGAC
rnacentral:rRNA from 1 species